rnacentral:rRNA from 1 species
UACAGAGACUCCAAGCGUUAUUCGGAUUUACUGGGCGUAAAGGGAGCGCAGGCGGCCAAGUGUGUCAGAGGUGAAAUCCUGCAGCUUAACUGUAGAAUGGCCUUUGAAACUACUUGGCUAGAGUAUCGGAGAGGUAAGCGGAAUUCCAGGUGUAGCAGUGAAAUGCGUAGAUAUCUGGAGGAACACCGAUAGCGAAGGCAGUCUACUACGAAUGUACUGACGCUGAUGGACGAAAGCGUGGGGAGCGAACAGG